AAGUCGUAACAAGGUUUCCGUAGGUGAACCUGCGGAAGGAUCAUUAACACGUAUCCAAACGUUAAAACCCCCCCCGUGAACCUUCAUCCUGCUCUAAUCAUAGCCCGGAAAGUUGUAGUGAUUCAGAGACCUCUGGCUACGUGCGAACAUUGGACCGUACACUCGGGCAGGAGCUUUGCCAAAGGGUCCCCAUGCCCCCUAAUAACCCCACAGUUUAAUGUGAAGCUCAAUGUAAUACAUUGGGUAAAAAAACCGAACAACUGUUAACAAUGGAUAUCUUGGUUCUC
rnacentral:misc_RNA from 1 species